GUAAACGAUGGAUACUAGGUGUGGGGGGUCUGACCCCCUCCGUGCCGGAGUCAACACAAUAAGUAUCCCACCUGGGGAGUACGAUCGCAAGGUUGAAACUCAAAGGAAUUGACGGGGGCCCGCACAAGCGGUGGAUUAUGUGGUUUAAUUCGAAGCAACGCGAAGAACCUUACCAGGGCUUGACAUCCUACUAAUGAAGCAGAGAUGCAUUAAGUGCCCUUCGGGGAAAGUAGAGACAGGUGGUGCAUGGUUGUCGUCAGCUCGUGUCGUGAGAUGUUGGGUUAAGUCCCGCAACGAGCGCAACCCCUAUUGUUAGUUGCUACGCAAGAGCACUCUAGCGAGACUGCCGUUGACAAAACGGAGGAAGGCGGGGAUGACGUCAAAUCAUCAUGCCCCUUAUGUCCUGGGCUACACACGUAAUACAAUGGCGGUAAACAGAGGGAAGCAAGACUGCAAAGUGGAGCAAAUCCCUAAAAGCCGUCUCAGUUCGGAU
rnacentral:rRNA from 1 species